AUUGAACGCUGGCGGCAGGCCUAACACAUGCAAGUCGAACGAGUGGCGGACGGGUGAGUAAUGUUUGGGAAAUUGCCUGAUGGAGGGGGAUAACUACUGGAAACGGUAGCUUACUCCGCAUACUAUUAGAUGUGCCUAGAUGGGAUUAGCUUGUUGGUGGGGUAACGGCUCACCAAGGCGACGACCCCUAGCUGGUCUGAGAGGAUGAACAGCCACACUGGAACUGAGACACGGUCCAGACUCCUACGGGAGGCAGCAGUGGGGAAUAUUGCACAAUGGGCGCAAGCCUGAUGCAGCCAUGCCGCGUGUAUGAAGAAGGCCGUCGGGUUGUAAAGUACUUUCAGCGGGGAGGCGUUACCCGCAGAAGAAGCACCGGCUAACUCCGUGCCAGCAGCCGCGGUAAUAC
rnacentral:rRNA from 1 species